AUUGAACGCUGGCGGCAUGCUUUACACAUGCAAGUCGAACGGUAACAGGCCUUCGGGUGCUGACGAGUGGCGAACGGGUGAGUAAUGCAUCGGAACGUGCCCAGAGGUGGGGGAUAACGCAGCGAAAGCUGUGCUAAUACCGCAUGUGAUCUGAGGAUGAAAGCGGGGGACCAAGCAGCAAUGUUUGGCCUCGCGCCUCUGGAGCGGCCGAUGUCAGAUUAGGUAGUUGGUGGGGUAAAGGCCUACCAAGCCGACGAUCUGUAGCUGGUCUGAGAGGACGACCAGCCACACUGGGACUGAGACACGGCCCAGACUCCUACGGGAGGCAGCAGUGGGGAAUUUUGGACAAUGGGCGCAAGCCUGAUCCAGCAAUGCCGCGUGCGGGAAGAAGGCCUUCGGGUUGUAAAACGCUUUUGUACGGAACGAAAAGGCUCUGGCUAAUACCUGGGGCUGAUGACGGUACCGUAAGAAUAAGCACCGGCUAACUACGUG
rnacentral:rRNA from 1 species